rnacentral:sRNA from 1 species
GGCCUCUCGGAUGGCGACGGCCAUCUCCU